rnacentral:rRNA from 1 species
CCUACGGGAGGCAGCAGUGAGGAAUAUUGGUCAAUGGGCGGAAGCCUGAACCAGCCAAGUCGCGUGAGGGAAUAAGGCCCUCCGGGUCGUAAACCUCUUUUGCCGGGGAGCAAGUGCCGGGACGAGUCCCGGUCCGGAGAGUACCCGGAGAAAAAGCAUCGGCUAACUCCGUGCCAGCAGCCGCGGUAAUACGGAGGAUGCGAGCGUUAUCCGGAUUUAUUGGGUUUAAAGGGUGCGCAGGCGGAAGAUCAAGUCAGCGGUAAAAUUGAGAGGCUCAACCUCUUCGAGCCGUUGAAACUGGUUGUCUUGAGUGAGCGAGAAGUAUGCGGAAUGCGUGGUGUAGCGGUGAAAUGCAUAGAUAUCACGCAGAACUCCGAUUGCGAAGGCAGCAUACCGGCGCUCAACUGACGCUCAUGCACGAAAGUGUGGGUAUCGAACAGGAUUAGAUACCCCAGUAGUC